UGACCAAAAAAACUCUGUUUGGUAACACUUUUUCACUAUGAGCUUAUAGCUUAUUUCAUAAGCUUAUAAGCUAUUUUUCAGAAGCUAUUCCAAGUAGCUAUUCUAACGGUGGUGCAGCCGAUAUGCAUCUUUGUGGAUGGAUGUAUGAGGUCCGGUUGUUGAAUAUGCUAGGUCUAAAUUUUCAUCCUCUUUGGUGAUGGAAUAAAUGGGGUUGUGAAUUUCUGAUUUAUAAAGUUUAUACCCACUAGGCGCUGGAAGGAGACAUAUGGGAAGAAAUAAGAUUCCAAACGAAGGUUCUAAUGAAGGUCCACACAGAUAUAGUUACUUGAAUCUGAAGAGAAAAAGAACACAGAUAUAUUGAUAAAUAUCAUAAUUUUUUUCUGGCCUAAAAUAUAGGGAAAUUUUCCAUGUUAUUCAUUUCUUGAUUUCUGAUUAUUUUUGUGCUUAUAUGUUACGUGUGGAUUAUUCUUUUUCUUUUGGAAGUUGGUGUACCUUUACAGUUGAUUGAGCAACCUAUUGCACAAACAGCUCCAUCUUAUGUCAUUUUCUCUUUUUUUUUUUUUUUUUUUUUUUACCUUAGUCAUCAAAAGAAGGGAUUCAUUUUACAAAUGAAUUAGAUUUUGAAGCUAUAUCCUCCUCUUUGUCUUCAUGUCCUUUUGAUAAGGAGAGAGUGAAGAAUAUGAUGCUUUUGAAAUGAAUAAAAUUGAAAAGUAACACCAUUCUCUAAGUAGUAUGACUACCUAUUCUAGGCAUAACCUUGAUGAAUCACUAAAAUAUUAUGAAUUACUAAAAAAUUGUAUCCUGAUCAAAGUGGUUAUAAAUUCAUUGGAACCGAUCAAACUUUGAUUUUAAGGAGUUUGAUUAGUUAUGCAUUUGUCCAAUUUGUUCUUGCCAGUAUUCUUCUCAAAUCAAGCCAUCUUGAUUUGCAUUGAAAACUAAAGAACCGUGUAUUGUUUGCUUCUGUUGAUUUUCAAUAUUUGCUUUGUGGUGCAAUAAGCUAACUCGCAUUGUAUGAUCUAUCCUUUCUAUAAGUUAUUGAUUUCAUACUUUCUGAAAUUUUUACCUCAUCAAAUUAUAUGAUAGCAAUUUUUUUUUCUUGAAUUGACUUUGGUAGCAU